UCUUGAGGAAUAUAGAAAAAUCGUUUAUUCGCCGUCUCCGUGAAGUUAAAAGUCGUAUACUAUCUUCAGAAGGUUGAAGAAGAUAGUCAGUUUCUUCAUCCAUUUCAAAAUCCCGCUCAUCAGAGCUCAAACUCAUAUAUUCGCUGGAAGAGUAGAUGCGAGGUAAUUACCUUAGCUUCCAUCUCGUGUUGCGUUCUCUCAAACGCGCCAUAAUAAUCUCCAAAGUUCGUCAUGCUCAUAAGGAACAUUGCCAUUAUACUUUCUACCGGCGACGGCAUUGGGUUGCUCACCGAAUCAUCUACUCCUUCUGGUGUAUUUGGAUUAUCGAAAGAUAGGAAUAUGAUGUAAUAUGCUGAAGAAAGUUAAGGCAAGAAAAGAGAAGACAAUCUUUUGAUUGACAUUGUAAAAUAAAUUAGAGAAGAGAAAUAUGAAAAAUAUAGGUCUGCGUUGUAUUGCAUUGUACUAUGUAAAUAUGUAAUAUUAGAAGGAAAUAGGAGAUAAUGCUCGAAAGGAAAUGAAUAUGGAGCUCGAGGCACUUAAACUACAGUAUGAGUGUUACAAGUUGAAUGUAUGAUAUGCCAGUGUAAUAAUAUGUGUCAAUGUCGCUUGCGAUGUAGAAAUUCCCAGAUGAGAGAUUAAGUCAUAAGGUGAAGGUAAACUCGUAAUCUGCUCGAUAUCGUUACACUUUGAUUAACGACUGUAAGGGAAGAGGAAGAAGCGUCAUUGGCAUAUUUACUCGCACGUUUCGAUCUAAUUGACCGGUUGAUUCUUACGAAUCGAUCGUAAGUUUAUUUCUGUCCGUGAUCUAUGUUCAAAAGAUACGAGAGGGAGAAGAACUUUGUUUUCAAGUUACCUUGAGAAAAUCCCAUUACAAAGACCAAAUAAAUGGAGACGAAACGGAGCAAAUCGCCCAUGAUCAUUCUGUAAAUCAUCACAACAAACGGACCGACCGUUUUGAAACCUCUGCAGAAGAAUAAAAAAUACGGUGCCGUCGUUAACAUCACUACAACUGCCAACAUAUCUUCAACUUGGUCGGCGCAAGCCAACCUCAGCAAUGGAAAGGACAGUAAUAUACAACAGGAGAAGAGGAACAUCACUCGCGACGGCGCAGUCAUCUAGAAGUUAAUUUCUUUCAUAAAAGCGCUUGAUAAAGAUACAGAUGAUAUCAUCCUCUUACUAGAUUCUCAAUGAACAUGUUGAGACCGAGAAAUCUGGCUUCGCGCAGUGCUGCAAUAAUAUAAAGAAUAGCCGCAAUCUCCAUUAAUAUUUCGGCGAUUAGUCGAAUCUUGGCCGAUAAUGUUGUUAGAUGCAUCAGUCUACACUUUUCUGUGAGAUUGUUCCACCUAAUAUCGAAAAUAUGCAUUAAGAGUCAUCUUGGACGUAUAGGUGGUCGCUAAUAAACAUUUUGAAAUUU